AGAAGAAAUGAUGAUCACAAUCCAUAUAUGUUCUGUAAUUUGAUGAUGAAUAUCAAACAUGCACUACCAUCUGAUCUCCC